CCCCUAGAUGUUCUGGGCCGCACGCGCGCUACACUGAACAGUUCAACAAGUCUUAAUCUUGGCCGAUAGGUCUGGGUAAUCUUUGAACGCUGUUCGUGAUUGGGAUAGACCUUUGCAAUUAUGGGUCUUCAACGAGGAAUUCCUAGUAAACGCAAGUCAUCAGCUUGCAUUGAUUACGUCCCUGCCCUUUGUACACACCGCCCGUCGCACCUACCGAUUGAAUGGUCCGGUGAAAUCUCGGGACGGCGGCUUGGUCGCUUGCGUCCGACUGCUGAAACUUGAUUAAACCAUAUCAUUUAGAGGAAGGUGAAGUCGUAACA
rnacentral:rRNA from 1 species